ACGGGAGGCAGCAGUGGGGAAUAUUGGGCAAUGGGCGAGAGCCUGACCCAGCAACGCCGCGUGAAGGAAGAAGGUCUUCGGAUUGUAAACUUCUUUUACAGGGGACGAUAAUGACGGUACCCUGUGAAUAAGCCACGGCUAACUACGUGCCAGCAGCCGCGGUAAUACGUAGGUGGCAAGCGUUGUCCGGAUUUACUGGGUGUAAAGGGCGCGUAGGCGGGAUUGCAAGUCAGAUGUGAAAUCCCCGGGCUUAACCCGGGAACUGCAUUUGAAACUGUAGUUCUUGAGUAUCGGAGAGGCAAGCGGAAUUCCUAGUGUAGCGGUGAAAUGCGUAGAUAUUAGGAGGAACACCAGUGGCGAAGGCGGCUUGCUGGACGACAACUGACGCUGAGGCACGAAAGUGCGGGGAUCAAACAGGAUUAGAUACCCUGGUA
rnacentral:rRNA from 1 species